rnacentral:rRNA from 1 species
GACGAACGCUGGCGGCGUGCCUAAUACAUGCAAGUAGAACGCUGAAGAGAGGAGCUUGCUCUUCUUGGAUGAGUUGCGAACGGGUGAGUAACGCGUAGGUAACCUGCCUUGUAGCGGGGGAUAACUAUUGGAAACGAUAGCUAAUACCGCAUAACAAUGAAUGACUCAUGUCAUUUAUUUGAAAGGGGCAAUUGCUCCACUACAAGAUGGACCUGCGUUGUAUUAGCUAGUAGGUGAGGUAACGGCUCACCUAGGCGACGAUACAUAGCCGACCUGAGAGGGUGAUCGGCCACACUGGGACUGAGACACGGCCCAGACUCCUACGGGAGGCAGCAGUAGGGAAUCUUCGGCAAUGGGGGCAACCCUGACCGAGCAACGCCGCGUGAGUGAAGAAGGUUUUCGGAUCGUAAAGCUCUGUUGUAAGUCAAGAACGAGUGUGAGAGUGGAAAAUUCACACUGAGACGGAGCUACCAGAAAG